UGGCGGCGUGCCUAAUACAUGCAAGUCGAGCGCAGGAAACAAGUAGAUCCCUUCGGGGGUGACGCUUGUGGAAUGAGCGGCGGACGGGUGAAUAACACGUGGGCAACCUACCUUGUAGACUGGGAUAACUCCGGGAAACCGGAGCUAAUACGGGAUGAUCAUUUGAAUCGCAUGAUUGAAAUGUAAAAGUGGGGAGUAAUCCUCACACUAUGAGAUGGGCCCGCGGCGCAUUAGCUAGUUGGUAAGGUAAUGGCUUACCAAGGCAACGAUGCGUAGCCGACCUGAGAGGGUGAUCGGCCACACUGGAACUGAGACACGGUCCGGACUCCUACGGGAGGCAGCAGUAGGGAAUCAUCCGCAAUGGGCGAAAGCCUGACGGUGCAACGCCGCGUGAACGAUGAAGGUUUUCGGAUCGUAAAGUUCUGUUAUGAGGGAAGAACAAGUGCCGUUCGAAUAGGGCGGCACCUUGACGGUACCUCACGAGAAAGCCCCGGCUAACUACGUG
rnacentral:rRNA from 1 species